rnacentral:rRNA from 1 species
UACGGAGGUGCGAGCGUUGUCCGGAAUCACUGGGCGUAAAGGGCGCGUAGGUGGCGCGGGAAGUCAACGGUGAAAGUUCGGGGCUCAACCCUGAAUCGGCCGUCGAUACUCCCGGGCGUCGAGCACUGUAGAGGCAGAUGGAAUUCCGGGUGUAGCGGUGGAAUGCGUAGAGAUCCGGAAGAACACCGGUGGCGAAGGCGGUCUGCUGGGCAGUUGCUGACACUGAGGCGCGACAGCGUGGGGAGCAAACA